rnacentral:rRNA from 1 species
AGCCUGCUUCGAGAUGAGUAUUCCCACCCCCAUGAGGGGUUAAGGCUCCCAGUAGACGACUGGGUUGAUAGGCCGGAUCUGGAAGCACCGUGAGGUGUGGAGGUGACCGGUACUAAUAGGCCGAGGGCUUGUCCUCAGUUG